AUGGGAUUCUGGCAUAAUCUCUUUGCUGAGCUAUCUGAUCAGUGGGAUAAUGUGGUGGAGGGGGCUAAAAAGCUAUCUUUGAAUGAUUCACCUGAUCAGGUUGUUUGGAAGUUUAAUAGCAAAGGAGAUUUUACAACAAAAUCUGUUUACGAGUGGUUAGAAAAAGAUGUAUCAGGACCUGAUUACAAGUGGGUCUGGAAAUCUAAGAUUCCUCUGAAGAUCAAAAUCUUCCUUUGGCAAUUAUUUCAAAAUGCCAUCCCUACCAGGGACAACCUGCGUAAAAGAAAUUGGCCAGGGAACCCAGUUUGUUCGUUUUGCCAUGAUAUUGAAACUGCCGAUCAUCUUUUCUUCGGGUGUGUGUUUGCCCGUUCUGUUUGGGGGGUGAUUGGGGAUGAUUUGGGAGCAUCCUGUACCCCUAAAUCUAUUUGGCAGAGCUGGGUAUGGCUCUAUAAAUAUCUUCCUGGGGGCAAAAAGCAUUACAUGUCUAUGGUUGCUUGUUGGGGAACGUUGCAGAAAAUUAAAUUUUUUCCUACGGUUUCACCAAGAUCCAUCUAUGAGUUCAUCUAA
rnacentral:rRNA from 1 species